rnacentral:rRNA from 1 species
CCCGCUGAACUUAAGCAUAUCAAUAAGCGGAGGAAAAGAAACCAACAGGGAUUGCCUCAGUAACGGCGAGUGAAGCGGCAAUUGCUCAAAUUUGAAAUCUGACUUCUUUUGAGGGUCCGAAUUGUAAUUUGCAGAGGAAGCUUCGGUGAGGGUAUAGACUCAAGUCCCCUGGAAUGGGAUGUCAUAGAGGGUGAGAACCCCGUCCGGUCAAAUGCCCAAACCAUGUGUUGCUCCUUCGACGAGUCGAGUUGUUUGGGAAUGCAGCUCAAAAUUGGUGGUAAAUUCCAUCUAAGGCUAAAUACUGGCCAGAGACCGAUAGCGCACAAGUAGAGUGAUCGAAAGAUGAAAAGCACUUUGAAAAGAGAGUUAAAAAGCACGUGAAAUUGUUGAAAGGGAAGCGCUUGCGGUCAGACCUUUACCAUGGUUGUUCAACCGAUCAUUUUUGAUCGGCUCACUCUUCUAUGGUAGGGCCAGCAUCGGUUUGAAUGGUCGGAUAAAGGCCCUAAGAAUGUAGCCCUUCGUGGGUGUUAUAGCUUUGGGUGCAAUGUGAUCUAUUCAGACCGAGGGAAGCGAAUUUUCCAGGAUGCUGGCAUAAUGGUUGCAAGCGGCCCGUCUUGAAACACGG